rnacentral:rRNA from 1 species
UACGUGGGGUGCGAGCGUUGUUCGGAAUUACUGGGCGUAAAGGGCUCGUAGGCGGCCAACUAAGUCAGACGUGAAAUCCCUCGGCUUAACCGGGGAACUGCGUCUGAUACUGGAUGGCUCGAGUUUGGGAGAGGGAUGCGGAAUUCCAGGUGUAGCGGUGAAAUGCGUAGAUAUCUGGAGGAACACCGGUGGCGAAGGCGGCAUCCUGGACCAACACUGACGCUGAUGAGCGAAAGCCAGGGGAGCAAACGGG